GCAUUAAUGGGGUAGUGGUAACCUCGGAGUUUCCCAUGUCAAUGAGAUUGCUUACUCUGGCCCCGUGUUCGAUUCACGGUUAAUGCA